GCUGCAGUCACUGGCAGCCGCAGCAGCGUCAGCGGCAGUUCUAGUGGUGGUUGGUAGUGUAGUAGUGCAGGCUGUCGUGAGCCGGUCGUAGCAUUAGCUGCCGUUCUUGCAAGGAAAAGCGCAUUGUUCUGCCAAGCCUCCGGCAGGUGCAGUGGCGGCCAUAGAACUAGCCCGCCCAGCCGCCCAGCUGCACUCUGGCGUGGUGCACGCUGUGCUGAUUGGCGGCGAUCAUCACCAUAGUUGUCGUCGUUGUUGUCGUCGUCGUCGCAGCUGCCGUCGUCGUCGUCGUCGUUAUUGCCGCGCUAUUCUUCUUCCAAUAAAGCAGCGGUGUGGAAUACUGCUUUUGGGCGCUGGGCGCGCCGUGUAUUUGGGCAGCCAACAAACAGGCGCAGACACUACCAGCGGACGUACGACGGACGACGAGCAAUGGGUCAAUCGGCCAUCGACUCGAAUCGCUGUGCAUAUCGGCUGUACUCUGCCUACGCUAUUGUGGCCGAUUCGCGAAGCUAGGCAAACCUAGCCCAAAACAAGUAGGCCCCUGGAAAGUGCCUACAAAGAUCGUCAGGUGCAAUUCACAGUCGACACCACCAAAGCGUUUCUGGAUCACCACCAAACGAUCCGACGUCCUUUGUCCACUAGAAGUAUUGCAAACCUUCCGGAACAAGUUGGUCGUGAUAAUCCGAAUCGGAUUUGAGUAGAGCCUAGUCUAUACUUGUUGGAUAGAUGCGCGGAUGGCAGCUUGAUACACCACCCUUACCAAUACUAGCUCAAAUUGUUCAGACGUCUUAAGUAAACGUCGCGUGAUAGGCAAAAGUGUGAUCGUGAGGUGCUUCAUUUUAAGGAUAGCGUAUGCCGCAUCGUGUCGUUUGUGUCGUGUGUCGAGUUGUGAGCGGAAAUCAUACGGAGACUCAUCUACACUCAAUAAAAAUAACUGGGAAUGCACGGAGAUUUUAAGCUUCCCUUAAUCAUAUAACCGAGAAGAGGCGCCAGGCUACGCAAAAAGAGAAAGGAACGCUUGGAAACUUUGACGACAACACCGCCCUGAAGUAGAUUGAAGUCUCGUAGGCCGGUAGGAGGCACAACAUUUUCAAAGGCUCUGAAUGAAAUUUCGGGAGACUUCGACCAGCGCCUAGCAGCGUACAGGCAAAUGCGGAAAGCACAGCAUGGCUUCCUGUUUGCUGCAAGCCAGCACCCGCCGCCAACCAGGCGAGUAGGAAAGCUUGAAGCGAACUCCCGUCCCGCAUAAGCUGGUUACGUCUUAUAGAGGUAACUCAAAAAACCACUCCAGGGUCAUUUAAUAACGAUUUUUAGCGGAUCAAUCAGAAAGAACUUAGGAAAGCAAUCGAAAUAGCAGGCUAACACGAUGAUGUCUGAAACAACAGUGACAUCAAACGUGCUAAUGUAAAUUUAGAUCGUAAAGGAAAUCGUCUCGACGACUACAACACGAUAUCGUCUAUAGAGUUUUCCAUAUAGUUCGACCGAAUUCGGCAAAAGUAAGAACUUUAAGAGUCAGUAUCGACGCUACAGUCCGGUUGUUGAAGAGUGGGUGUAGAUAUUUUCGCCAUCACCUAAAUGUGACACUGCUCGUUUGUCGAGAGCGCUGUCAGAGUACGGCGGUAGCCAAUGCCAGUGUAAAUGCGAGUACCAUAGCAAACCUCAUGCUGAAGACGGAGCCGCGUACGAGAAGUGCCGAAGGGGCCGUUAGUUGCAAUUACUCGACUGCACUGACAAAGAUCGCUUGGUCUCAAGCAUCGUUAUCUUAGCGGACGGGCUUUUUGAGCCAGGUUAAAUUUACUCUGCUCAGCUUUAUCUGCCAAGACAAGUGGAAUGGAAUAGCUUAAGAAGAUCUCCUUUAGAAAGCGUAGAGUUCAAUAGAGAAAAUUAAGUGUUUGUAGAUGAUGAUGAUGAUGAUGAUGAUAAUGAUGAUGAUGAUGAGGGUCUAAACGGUUGAAAAACGGACGGAGAUGGUUUUUGACGUUUUCGUUGUGUGAGGACAUAUUAAAGUCUCGCUUAUUGAUGCCAAGCGAGUGGAUUCUGAUUCAUUGUUGUUAGCAAUAAUGGUGAUGGUGUAUAUAUUUGUGCUUCGUAAGUCUGUUGCAAGCUUGAAGAAGAGUUUGGUUUCAAAGUAAGGCAGGCUGAAUUUAAGCCGUGAUUAGUCGGUGGCGGGAACACGAAGAACACGAACUUUCGCUAACUAAGGAACAUUCUAAUUCGGCUGGUUGAGCAGGAGCAGAAUCCAGGUCCGACCACAGCCCCAGCGGUCUGAAGGUUGAAGGCCUACAGCGUUAUAGAGAAAGCCUGUAGGUUUACGGAACUACGAGCAGGAUUAGCGCAGGCUCGUCGUUCUGAUUAUUACUACUAUUAUUACUAGUAUUAGUGCUAGUUGGUGCAGUCGCAAUUGUGUUGUUCUUGGCCACUGGCAGACGGUCGUCAUUACUAGUCUGUGUUGUGUGAAUAGUGGUAAAUCUGAUUCAGUUUAAUUGUGGUCAGUUCUAUUUAGUGCAGUGAGUGAGCUAGCGACCGAGCUGGAUCGCUGCUCCAACCAGCUCGGCCCAAUGAUGAACUAUCCGGUGUCCGAGAUCAAAUACGAUAAUGACUACAGCCCUGGGCCAACAGUACCCGGCGCGGCAAUGGCCGGCAUGCCCAGCGUGCCUGGCGGGCUCGCCUGCCACGCUGCCGCUAUUGGUCACGGCGGCCCGUACGAAUAUUACAGCCAGGGUUACUACCCACAAGUGUACGACGUUAAAUACGACGUGGCCUACCCUACACCACCGGGACACAAUGGAAGCCCUAUGCCGCCGUACUGGACUAGCGGGCUUGACCAUAUUGCAGCGUCCUCACCUUCAACACCCGUCGUGUCACCUGGGCAAAACGUCUCUCCUGCGCCAACGGUGUCCCCACUGAGUCGCGACUACGUUUCAGGGGUCACAUCCCCAGAGACCUCACCCACUCCGCCCAUGGCUUCGAGCCGGGGGACACCCGACUCGGAACAUCCCGUAAUUUAUCCCUGGAUGAAGAAGGCACACAGUGGACAGUCUGCGCAAGACUCUCGUUCCGUUGAUGACUGGACGGGAGACCCGUAUCCGGAUCCACAGAUGCGGGGCUUUGCCUGUGGAGCAGCAGCCGAUCAUGGAGCCUUCGGCAACAUCAUGGAACCCAAGAGACAACGGACCGCCUACACCCGCCAUCAGAUACUCGAAUUAGAGAAAGAAUUUCAUUUCAACAGAUAUCUAACGAGACGACGCAGGAUCGAGAUCGCGCAUAGUCUGUGCCUGACCGAACGCCAGAUAAAAAUCUGGUUUCAGAAUCGGAGGAUGAAAUGGAAAAAGGACAAUAAACUGCCAAAUACUAAAAAUGUUAAGAAGAAGCAAAAUCAGCAGAACAGCAGCCAAAGUAACAGUAACAAUGGACAAGCGAACUCUCAGUCGCAGGCGAACAAUCAACCUCGGCCGGGGCAGACGGUGACGGUGCCUUCUGGACCAGGACACGUUGUUUUGGCAGAAGGGCCUGGACCGGGCUCACAGCACCCGGGUCUACUCAACCCAUCAGGGACACCUCCGUUGGCCGCGUUAACGGGUCCUGUUGGCGCUGGAACACCUGGCCUUCCUCCAGGACUAUCUGCCGCCGGCCUCUCCGGUGGCUUACCAGGCGGCCUGUCGGGGGGUCUGCCCUCUGGAUUGGGUCCAGGGGGACCGGCGCCAUACCUCUACCCGCCUUACCCAGGUGCUGCGCCACCACAACAUCUACAACCAGGCACCCCACAGGCCACUCGGCCUAGUGAGUACGGACACCCACCCCCCGAUCACCUUCAGCCGCUUGCCGCCGAGUCGUGUGCGCGCUGACGAAAUGGUCAUUGCAGCAAACGACAGCUGGCCGAUGUGGGUGGCACAGAUGAGUCCUGAUAGGACCAGAAGUGACUGGGUCCUCGUUGAUUAGGCCUGCAGUAUGCGCGGCACAACACUCUGAGACAGAGUAAAAAUAAAGAGCGAUUGUAAAAAAGGAAAUUAAGAAAAAUACAGAAAAACUGGAGCAACUAGCUGUAACAUGUUGCUUAUGGUACGAAGUAUUUAGUGCAACAAUAACAUGAACAACUGUUAUGGCACAUGAGGAGCCAGUCAGGUCAACCAGAGAGCGGUUCGUCCCAAAAAGGCCCCCGCCCGCCUUACGGCUGAAUUCAUUAAUCUCUCCCCGUGGCACUUUCUCCGAUCAACGGUCGUAUCACCAUUGUAGUGUGGGGCGUUUCAACAGCUGAACAUCAACAGCAAUUGCGGCAGACAUGUCUGAUUUCUAAGCCCACGUCGUCUCACCUCAACGAGUACGGACUCACACAGCUGUAAAUACUACAACUUAGAGUUAUAAGAAGAAUAAUAAGCUAGGAAUCACUGGAAAAAUCCAUUUUCAACAAAAAUGACUGCUCUUCAUCAUAUUUCGUCAUGGGAACACAAAUAAAGGCAAAUAUUAAGAUCAUCAUCAUCAUCAGAAUAUGACAACAAAAGGGAACCGACGUGUUGCGUCAUGAUAGCGCCGACUGUGGCAAUGCAGACCAGACGCGCACAAGGUUAUACGCGAUCUACAGCAGUUGAGAUCAUUGGACAGCAAGGAAUACAUGUGGAAUAAUAAAGACUAAUGCAUAAAGGGAGGAAGUGACAUGAAAAUGGACACGAUCCUUCGAGCCGGCCUAUGUUAGGCUCUGAGCGAUGAAUAGAAUUUUACAAAUGUGCAAAUACUCUCAUUAGAGAGAAACAACAAGGAGGUCCUAGAGCUUCUUUUCAUAACCUGUUUUCGGAGAAGAACAGUUAAGCAAUGCUCUCCACAAUUUAAUAAGCGGCUAAAAAGCGGUAAGAAGGAUAGGAAAAUUCAUUUUUGCCAAGGGAAAGUACCCCCUAAACCCAAAGAGGCCGCAAAUUCUCACCGAACACUGUAGCGGAACUCGAGGGACUGAUGAGUAGCCGGCUGGGCUGGCCUUGUUGAAACGAUUGGAUCGAGGAGUGAUGGCUCGCCAAUAAGGUAAUGACUAAGUGGCUGAAGUGACGAUACCCUUGCAUUAUCCUAAUACGAAUUUAGGUCUGCGUUAGUGUUUUUGCUCACGGUUCGUACGCGACUAGGAGCAUUAAAAAGGAGGUUUGCCGGUGGCGUCUCCUCCGCUGUGACUUGAGCCCGCUGGCCCGUCGAAAGCCAACAGCUAUUGUCGACGAUUAACCGAGAGUAAAAUCUUCAGCCACGACUGAAUUAUGGCUGUUAGUGAAAUUUUUGAGGAGUGAAAAUCAUCGACGCUGCAAAGCAGACAACACAGAGGUAGACUUGAACAGAGGUCAAUUAGUUGCUGAACCCGUACUCAACAACGAUCUGUGCCAUCAAGCGCGGACGACGCCUCAGUUGCUCUCACUUUACUUUUGUUCUGCGAGCGCCAUUCCGAAAUGUCCGGAGAGUAUAGCAGAACAGAGAAAUCAAGAGAUUAUUAUAACAACAAUAAUACUGAUAACAACAAUACAGAUAGAUGGAUAGAUAGAUAGAUAGAUAGAUACAUAGAUAGAUACAUAGAUAGAUAGAGAGAUAGAUAGAUAGAUAGAUAGAUAGAUAGACGUGAUGCGAGUGAAAUACACAGAAACAGGAAGGCAUGUUGUAUCUGUCCUACCUCGCGCGACCGCCAACGGUAAUUGAACUGUAAAUCUGUGCUAUGUCAGUAGUGUACAUAAUAUUGAUAAGUAUCAUGAUAAAGAAUCAUAUAAUUCUACUAUGACAUUAAUACUAAGAAUAUCAUUAAAAGGAACGACGAUGCUGAUAGUGAAGUAAUAAGGAAGAAAAUAGUAAUAAAAGUAAGAAGGAAUAUUAGAAAUAAGAUAAUAAUUGCUGCGCUAAAAGAAGGAUGAUAAGAAUUACGGGAGAAGUAAGAUACGAUUUACAUAGGAGAUACGACGACGACGACGACGCCCGCGAAGGAGACAAUAGCGGCAACAAGCAACUGCUCUAAGACAAGUUCAGAUGAUGGGUGCGUACGCGCAAAGCCUGCUUUUUUAUAGCACACGGAUACAUCACACAUAAGUACAUCUCUCUCGCUAUAUAUCUGAACACAAAGUCGACCCUAGCCGGUCCAACUGAACCGUCUGCAGGUGCUUGGUAUGUGCAAGACCGGGAAAAGUGACAAGACUGCGAUAUGAAAAAAAUAAUUUAUACAAUGUAGCAAUGAAGCGUGGCCAUUGUAUGUCGUGCGGCUGUAGCACGCUUAUGGUCUCAGUUUGUUGGAUUUUACAACAAACUAUUUAGAAACAUUGGCGCGGAUGACGCUGAACUUCGCCGUGGGAAUGAGGUUCUACGGUGAAGCUUAGGUAGUAAUAUCAGCCCUAACUGGACAGGGCAGGUAUAGUAGGGAUGCGCGUUCUCGACCUUCAAUUUCAAGAUGAUACUAAGGAAUUGCGGCGCUAGAUUUACCAUUUUUUGAAAUGACCACUCAGUGACGAUCAGGUAGGGAUGAGGCUCGAUCAGUUUACUACUAAACACUAGCAUAUAUAUAUGUAUAUCGCUAAUUGAAUUUCCUUUAUGGAAAACGGAUAUACAAAUAGAGCGCGGGUGGCGAUACAACUAUUUAAUAUCGAGAUACGUACUAGUCAAUAAUUCUCAGGAAACUGUAUAGUAGAAAGGCACCGGAACGUGGAAAUGAAUAAACGAAGACUGAAAUGAAAGUCGAAAGCUGAAGCCGAGACAGACAAAGAGAAACAAGAGUUCAGCUAUAACAAAGUGUCUACUACUGGGUGUGCUGAGGACUCAGCAAUCUACACGAUUAGUGGGUUCGGUGGAGAUGAAAUAAAGGAGCUAACUGAAGAAAAAACCUGACGGUUGUUUAAGACGUUGUCUAACCGAAUGAGAACGACCGGCUACAAUAAGAAUCAUGAAGGAAAACACAUAAACGCAGUGUAUAGUGGAUUUCUAGGAACGAGACAGAAAAAAAUAAUGUCGCAGCCACAAAUGUCAAUAAGAUACUCACCAAUAUACCCGAACACAAAACAUUGUAAUUACAAACAAAAAAAUCUGUAGGAGACAUUUAAAAAAUCUAUAAAAUCAAUAAGGAUUGAAAAGCAAAGAUGAUACCACUACGCUGAUAGUUGGCGGCGGCGGCGGCGGCGGCGGCGGCGGCGGCGGCGACGACGACGACGACGACGACGGCGGCGGC